rnacentral:rRNA from 1 species
CCUACGGGGGGCUGCAGUUGGGAAUCUUGCACAAUGGGGGAAACCCUGAUGCAGCGACGCCGCGUGGAGGAAGAAGGGUCUAGGCUCGUAAACUCCUUUUUCAGGGAAAGACUUAGGACGGUACCCUGAGAAUAAGCUCCGGCUAACUACGUGCCAGCAGCCGCGGUAAGACGUAGGGAGCGAGCGUUGUCCGGAUUUACUGGGCGUAAAGAGCACGUAGGCGGUCUGUUAAGUGAGAAGUGAAAUCUCCAGCGCUCAACGCGGAAACGGCUUUUCAUACUGGCAGACUUGAGGGAUGCAGAGGCAAGUAGAAUUCCUGGUGUACCGGUGACAUGGGUUGAUAUCAGGAGGAAUACCAAUGGCGAAGGCAGCUUGCUGGGCAUCAUCUGACGCUGAGGUGCGAAAGCGUGGGUAGCAAACAGGAUUAGAUACCCCAGUAGUC